GAUGAACGCUAGCUACAGGCUUAACACAUGCAAGUCGAGGGGCAGCGUGGAGCAGCAAUGCUCUGACGGCGACCGGCGGAAGGGUGCGUAACACGUGAGCGACUUGCCCGUCACAGGGGGAUAACCGGCGGAAACGGCGACUAAUACCCCAUACGAUGCGAUGCUGCAUGGCAUUGCAUUGAAAGAUUCAUCGGUGGCGGAUAGGCUCGCGGGACAUUAGCUAGACGGCGGGGCAACGGCCCACCGUGGCGACGAUGUCUAGGGGGUUCUGAGAGGAAGGCCCCCCUANACUGGGACUGAGACACGGCCCAGACUCCUACGGGAGGCCAGCAGUGAGGAAUAUUGGUCAAUGGGCGGAAGCCUGAACCAGCCAUGCCGCGUGAAGG
rnacentral:rRNA from 1 species